rnacentral:rRNA from 1 species
GAUGAACGCUGGCGGCGUGCCUAAUACAUGCAAGUCGAGCGAACGGACGAGAAGCUUGCUUCUCUGAUGUUAGCGGCGGACGGGUGAGUAACACGUGGAUAACCUACCUAUAAGACUGGGAUAACUUCGGGAAACCGGAGCUAAUACCGGAUAAUAUUUUGAACCGCAUGGUUCAAAAGUGAAAGACGGUCUUGCUGUCACUUAUAGAUGGAUCCGCGCUGCAUUAGCUAGUUGGUAAGGUAACGGCUUACCAAGGCAACGAUGCAUAGCCGACCUGAGAGGGUGAUCGGCCACACUGGAACUGAGACACGGUCCAGGCUCCUACGGGAGGCAGCAGUAGGGAAUCUUCCGCAAUGGGCGAAAGCCUGACGGGGCAACGCCGCGUGAGUGAUGAAGGUCUUCGGAUCGUAAAACUCUGUUAUUAGGGAAGAACAUAUGUGUAAGUAACUGUGCACAUCUUGACGGUACCUAAUCAGAAAGCCACGGCUAACUACGUG